GCCGGGCGCAGUGGCCCGUGCUUACAGUCCCAGCAACUCGGGAGGCAGAGGUGGGAGGAUCACUUGAGCCCAGGAGUCCUGGGCUGUAGUAUGCUAUGCCGAUUGGGUGUCCACACCUAAGUGUGGCAUCAAUAUGGUGACCUCUCGGGAUCGGAGGACCACCAGGUUGCCUAAGGAGGGGUGAACCAGCCUAGGUCAGAAAUGGAGCAGGUCAAAACUCCCGUGCUGAUCAGAAGUGGGAUCACGCCUGUGAACGGCCACUGCACUCCAGCCUGGGCAACACAGUGAGACCCCGUCUCU
rnacentral:SRP_RNA from 1 species